GUUCCACAGGGAUGCUGGUCCAUGUUGACUCUACAAGGUGUCUAAAGCGUUCCACAGGGAUGCUGGUCCAUGUUGACUCUACAAGGUGUUGAAAGCGUUCCACAGGGAUGCUGGUCCAUGUUGACUCUAUAAGGUGUGGAAAGCGUUCCACAGGGAUGCUGGCCCAUGUUGACUCUACAAGGUGUCUAAAGCGUUCCACAGGGAUGCUGGUCCAUGUUGACUCUACAAGGUGUCUAAAGCGUUCCACAGGGAUGCUGGUCCAUGUUGACUCUACAAGGUGUUGAAAGCGUUCCACAGGGAUGCUGGUCCAUGUUGACUCUACAAGGUGUCUAAAGCGUUCCACAGGGAUGCUGGUCCAGUUGACUCUACAAGGUGUUGAAAGCGUUCCACAGGGAUGCUGGUCCAUGUUGACUCUACAAGGUGUCUAAAGCGUUCCACAGGGAUGCUGGUCCAUGUCGACUCCAAUGCUUCCCACAGUUGUGUCCAGUUGUCUGGAUAUGUUUUGGGUGGUGGA